rnacentral:rRNA from 1 species
GACGAGGGGUCCUAGCGUUGUUCGGAAUCAUUGGGCGUAAAGCGUGUGUAGGUUGUUUUGCAAGUCAGUUGUGAAAGCCCCGGGCUCAACCUGGGAAUUGCAUUCGAGACUGAAUAGCUAGGGUACGGUAGAGGGAAGUGGAAUUUCCGGUGUAGCGGUGAAAUGCGUAGAUAUCGGAAGGAACAUCAGUGGCGAAAGCGACUUCCUGGACCAGUACCGACGUUCAGGCACGAAAGCGUGGGGAGCAAACAGG